rnacentral:rRNA from 1 species
UACGAGGGGAGCAAGCGUUGUUCGGAUUUACUGGGCGUAAAGGGCGCGUAGGCGGCGUGACAAGUCACUUGUGAAAUCUCCGGGCUUAACUCGGAACGGUCAAGUAAUACUGUCGUGCUAGAGUACAGAAGGGGCAACUGGAAUUCUCGGUGUAGCGGUGAAAUGCGUAGAUAUCGAGAGGAACACCUGCGGCGAAGGCGGGUUGCUGGGCUGAUACUGACGCUGAGGCGCGAAAGCUAGGGGAGCGAACGGG